rnacentral:lncRNA from 1 species
GUUAAGGUGGUUUUCACCCAGGGGCCCUAGAGAAAGAGGCAAUGAUUAUUUCCAGGUAAAAGGAUUUUCCUUCCUUCUUUUUGCUUUGAUUUCCUGUUUUUUAUACAGUAAACAAAUCUAUUUUUAGGCAAUAAUAAAUUGAAGUGUGCCAGCUCAAUAGUGAGCAUUGGGAGUUCUGUUCAAGUGGAAAUCAGAGAAGACCUGUCCAUCACUGCUCAAAGAUAGAGGAGGACAACGACCAGCAAAUCUUACCCAAUGGAGACACAACACUGCUAUUCACACCGAGUAUCCUCCCUUUCAUUCCUUAGACAGUCUACACCUGCACAUGGUAAGCAAUAAAACAGUGUGGACCUUCUAAUCACUUCUCUAGUACUGAUGAUCAUUUGUAAUGACAUUGAACAAAACUUUGCCCAGCAAUUUGCAUUGAUUCUUAGGAGAGGGUCACUUCUCACUCCCUGAUCUAAGUGUAAGUCACUCCUUACACAUUGAUCCAUGGAAUUCAUAAGAUUUGUCAGAAUUCAGCAAAAGAAACCAAAAUUUACGUUCAAUUACAAGUUAUCUUUCAACCCCUACUCUGAAGACUAGGGAAUGGGUUUGCUUAUUUUGUUUUGUGGUUAUUGCCAAUUUUGUUGGGUAUUUUGUGGAAGGAAGAGAAG